UACGUAGGGGGCUAGCGUUGUCCGGAAUCAUUGGGCGUAAAGAGCGCGUAGGCGGUCCGAUAAGUCGGUUGUGAAAACUGGGGGCUCAACCCUCAGAGGCCGACCGAUACUGUCGGGCUAGAGUCCGGAAGAGGCGAGUGGAAUUCCUGGUGUAGCGGUGAAAUGCGCAGAUAUCAGGAGGAACACCGAUGGCGAAGGCAGGUCUCUGGGCCAUAACUGACGCUGAGAAGCGAAAGCAUGGGGAGCGAACAGG
rnacentral:rRNA from 1 species